rnacentral:rRNA from 1 species
UUGAGUUUGGUGAUGGCUCUGAUUGAAUGCUGUCCAAGUGCUUGACACAUGCUAAUCGAACGUUUUAAUUUUUCUAAGUUAAAAAGUGGUGUACAGGUGAGUAUAAAUAUAUUCUCCGCCGACCUUAAAGUAAAGCUAAAUUCUUUAUUAAAAAGGAGAUAAUUAUCUCCGCUUUAAGAGGACAAUGAAUAUUUCCGAGACAGGUAGUAGUUAAGGUGAUGGCUUAACUAGCCUACAACUCUCGUAGUCGAAACUGAAAGGUUGAUCGAUCACAUUGGGUCUGAAAAAAUCCCAAUGCAUAUUAGUACAGCAGUGAGGAAUAUUGGUCAAUGGCCUAACGGCUGAACUGGCAACUUGGAGAAGUGAUAAGCUUUUAUAUGUGUUUUUUAGCACGAGAAUAUAAAAGUUCUAUUAAUUUUGAAUGAAGCUUUGUUUAUAUACUGAUAAUGACAGUAUAUAUAUACCGUCUUGACUAAUUGCGUGCCAGCAGUCGCGGUAAUACGUAAGAGACUAGUGUUAUUCAUCUUAAUUAGGUUUAAAGGGUACCUAAACGGUCGAUAUAUCUUGUAAAAAUGUUAAUAUAAGACUAGAGUUUUCUAUGUAAGGGGGCAGUACUUGAGGAGGAAAGAUAAAAUUUCGUGAUACCAAAGGGACUCGGUAAAGGCGCAGGCAGCCCUUUAUGUAAAAACUGACGUUGAGGGACGAAGGCAUAGAUAACAAAAAGGAUUAGAUACCCAAGUAGUCUUUGCAGUAAAUUAUGAAUGCCAUGGGUUGAAUAAAUUUAUUCAAACUAUAAAUGAAAGUGUAAGCAUUUCACCUCAAGAGUAAUGUGGCAACGCAGGAACUGAAAUCACUAGACCGUUUCUAACCCCAGUAGUGAAGUAUGUUGUUUAAUUCGAUGAUCCACGAAAAACCUUACCACAAUCUGAAUAAUAAAUAUAUUACAGGAGUUGCACGGCUGUUUUCAGUUAAUGUUGUGAAACUAUGGUUUCCAUAAAAUUAACGAAAUCCCAUACUUUAUUUUUUUUUUACGAUAAAGUUUAUUUUUCCAAAAUACUUGGCGAAAAUAGGAGGGACUAAGACAAGUCAUCAUGGCCUUGAUAUUGUGGGCUAUAGACGUGCCACAUAUACCUAAACAAAGAGAAGCAAAAAUGUGAAUUCUAGCUAAUCUCAAAAAAUAGGAUAUAAAAAGGAUUGUAGUCUGGAAUUCGACUAUAUGAAUAAGUAAUUACUAGUAAUCGUGAAUCACCAUGACACGGUGAAUAUACCUUUGGAUUGGUACUAACCACUCGUCACAUGCUGAAAGGAACGUGCGCAAUAAGUUUGCUUUUUUACUAUAUUGUAAAAACUAUAAGUAGUUUGUUUUCUUUUAGUAAAAAUCUUCGUAUGCGUGGUUCUAAUUAGUGUAAAGUCGAAAUACGGUUCGUGUAGUGGAA